rnacentral:misc_RNA from 1 species
GUCCAUUGAAGCAGGAGCUUCCAAAAGAGAGAGGUGGAAUUUGCUGGAAUCGUCUGGUUAUCAGGAUCAAUUAUCAGAAACCUAAAAUAUCUAUUGGGCCAUUUCUGGAUUUUUAUUUCAACAAAAGAGGAGAAGGAGAAGCAGAAGCAGAAGCAGAAGAAGAAGAAGAAGAAGAAACUGAAAGAGACACCCACAUAACCAACUUAUGAUACAUGGAAUACUCAAAUCUAAUAAGAAGUUCGCUUGGAAUGCCAGAUGCCAUUGACGGUAAGGACACCCAGAUGACGGAUACAGAGACUUUGACUUUGACUUCGGCGGCUGUACCUCACCAAGUCGCCAACGAUGUCGUCAAAGAGAUGCUCACAUUGGCUCGUCAGCUCAUUAACGAGGGUAAACCUUCUCAGGCUCUCCAAGCGGUUGUUGUGGCAAUACGUACCAAAGGUGGAGAUGAGGCUGUGUUUCAGUCCCUGAACCGUGCUCGUGAACUGUAUAGAAACAGGCUGCAAGAGAACACCGCCAUUGAUCAACUUGUUGCUGAGUGUGCAAUUGCUGAAGUGCAGCCUUCUGAAGUUGAACCAUUACCACUUAAUGUAGGUGGCCCAUCGUUAGAUGUUCAUGCAAACUCUAUACUUGCGGACACUGGUAGGAUGCAAAUUGUGUUGGAUGCAUUCUCAGAUGGAAGCAACUUCAUCUGUUUGCAGUGUGGAGGUCUUGUUAGUAACCAUCGCAAAGACGAGCACUAUGCCUACUGGUGUUGCCAACUCUGAUGUGCACGAAUAUAGAAUUGAAUAUCUGCAGUGCUCCUUGAAAUGCUUGAUUUGCUUACUGUUGCCCUACUUCUACAUUUGACUACACAAUGCCCUUGAUGAAAGGGUAUUUUCAUCAUCCAAUGUCCCAGAUGUGAUCAUUAUCAUCAGUCAANAAAACUUCAACUGCUUGAAGAAGGGUGCACAGGCCCUUCAUAAGAAAAAGAAAAAAUCCGCA